rnacentral:rRNA from 1 species
UACGGGGGGGGUAAGCGUUGUUCGGAAUUACUGGGCGUAAAGGGCUCGUAGGCGGCCAACUAAGUCAGACGUGAAAUCCCUCAGCUUAACUGGGGAACUGCGUCUGAUACUGGAUGGCUUGGAUUCGGGAGAGGAAUGCGGAAUUCCAGGUGUAGCGGUGAAAUGCGUAGAUAUCUGGAGGAACACCGGUGGCGAAGGCGGCAUUCUGGACCGAUAUUGACGCUGAGGAGCGAAAGCGUGGGGAGCAAACAGG